AGUUGGCUGCUGCGAGGACCAAGAACAGUCAGUGCUUAGAGGUGUUGCCCACAAGAAACAUCAAGGAGAAUACAGUGAUGUGUGGGGAAACUCCUGACUUCAGUCAGCCACAGCCACUGGUGAGGAGACAGGGAACAAACUGUGCCAAAGUGGGCAGGGAGUGACAAACUCUGGGGUUCCACCACUGCUGAGGGGCUCCUGCCAUAGGCAGAAAACAAGGAGGACUCACGCAGACUCUCUCAUUCAUGAAAUAACUAAUCCCAUUGUGUAUGGAGGCUAUUUAUAGGAAUACACCUGUGCUAAAGGGAAGAGAACUUUCCAGCAUUUCAAAUAAAUGUCUAGCACUCGCUUUGAAGUGUAAAGCUAGAGGAUUAUCAAUGUAAGUGGUAUGAUUAUAUGCAAAUGAAGUGCAGUUUUUAUUUCCAAAGCCUCUCUUGUCAAACCUGUGUGUGCCAGGACAAAGCCAGCCACAUCCACUCAGCUAGACUAACAUUACACAGCAAAAGUUGUUAGAUAUCUCACCCCCAUUAGGCUCCAACACCACAGCCUCUCUGCACACAAAGGAGGUUCAAUUCCCCUCUCAGAGGAACAAGCCAGAGUGCUU